ACGCAAUAUGGGACAUUUUAACAAUGCUGCAGGGCCUUAUAGAGUCUAAUGUAGCAACUGUGGGACGAACUUGUUGCUUUAUGUAGCAGCAUGAUGUAUUUUUUUACUGAUUUAAUUUGUAGACAAGUAGUAGCAAGUACUUAGUGUAAUACAAAGAAGUAUUACGCAAAUAGUAUCGCGAUCUCAAAGAAUACAAGAAAGCAAUAAUAUCAAAAAAUAUACGUACGAUUACUGAAGAUAUAAAAAAAAAAAUGGAAAUGCUUUUGAUAAAAAAAACGAAUCAUCAAAAUUGCUACAUCUACUAAAAAGGUGUGGUUAUUGCUUAUAUCUUUUGCUUUUGACCCGUGCUUAUUAACGUACC
rnacentral:misc_RNA from 1 species